GUUUGGCGUAGCGGGUGGCCAGGUCGCGGAACUGCUUGAGGCGGUUGAAGCAGCGUUCGACCACGUUGCGCUGCUUA
rnacentral:tRNA from 1 species